rnacentral:lncRNA from 1 species
CCUUAAAGAGGACGGACUGAAGAAACGCGGGAAUGAGCUCCAGACGCGGGAGUUUCCUCUCUACAAAGUUACACUGCAGCAGCUGUCUACCCUGCCCCUUGUCUUUUGAGAAGUUCAAACCUUCAGAAAAGUUGCAAGAACACGACAUGCGAAAAGAACCACAAUUAACACUGAAGAUGUGAAGCUCUUAGCCAGGAGGAGUAAUUCACUGCAUAUGCAGGAAGCGGCAGGAAUAAGGAAAAGCAGCCUCCUGACUUUCCUCGCUUGGUGGUUUGAGUGGACCUCCCAGGCCAGUGCCGGGCCCCUCAUAGGAGAGGAAGCCCGGGAGGUGGCCAGGCGGCAGGAAGGCGCACCCCCCCAGCAAUCUGCGCGCCGGGACAGAAUGCCCUGCAGGAACUUCUUCUGGAAGACCUUCUCCUCCUGCAAAUAAAACCUCACCCAUGAAUGCUCACGCAAGUGUAAUGACAGACCUGAAUAAAAUGUAUUAAGCAGCA